rnacentral:misc_RNA from 1 species
UCCAAGCGAUGACUGCACCGGUGAGCGGCGUCGACGCCCAGCAGGUCCUGUCCAACGCUCAGCCACCACACUCGCAGCAACCGGGGAGCGCUCGCAAGUCCGAGCCGGUCGUCGCCUCCGCGAUAUCGGGGGUGCGACGGCGUGGGGUGCAAAAUCAAGGUCUUCGCUCACCCGCGGCGAAGCGACCCGUCUCGGCGCCCGUCGCCUUACAAGGAUGGCUUCACAAGCAGGGCUCCGAAGGCCUGAUGCUGUGGAAGAAACGAUGGUUCGUUCUCUCCGAGUACUGCCUCUUUUACUAUAAAGGUCCCGAGGAGGAAAAGCUUCUGGGAUCGAUUCUGCUUCCGUCCUAUCGAGUUACGGUAUGCAGGCCCGAGGACAAGAUCAACAAGAGAUUCGCCUUCAAGGCCGAGCACGCAAACAUGAGGACGUACCACUUCGCCGCAGACACGCUCGAGAGCAUGAAUCAGUGGGUGAACGUCUUGACUCUAGCCACGCUACUCCAGGAUCCUAAUCCUGGCGGAGGAAACGUAACUACUCCGGUUGGAGGCGACGGAGCCGCACCCGCCCUGGACGACGGUGGCGAUCGAAGCGCUCGACCCAGCGUCUCGUCCAUCUCGUCGAUAGCCAAUCAAAGCGCCGACGAUAGCGACUCGGGCUUCCACGGCUUUCAGUCGCGCGACGAUCCGAGCCACGCGUCUAACAACAACUCCAGUCCCAACAGCGUGAAUACCGGCUCGUUUCCCGGCAGCAGCGGCAGCAACAACAACGCCCAGCUGCCCAACAAUCCCAACGUUUACAACAAUAACGCGAGUCUUCACGAGAACGCAAAACAACAGCAGCAUCAGCCGAUGGCCAAUGGCUGGAUGCAGCAGCAGCAACAACAAUCGUCCCAGUACAGGCAUCAUCCCGACCUGGUGAGCCAGAGCCCUUACGUCAUUCAGCAGCAGCCCCAUCAGCAUCAGCAGGCUGGCAUGUACCUGCAGCAGCAACAACAGCAGCCACCACCGCCGCAGCACAGUCGUCAAUCGGUUCAAAAUAUGCAGCCGAUGCCUCGCAAUUACGGCCAACCGGUUUACGCGAACGCACCACCGAAGCCCCGACGAUUGGCCGAGAAUUCCAACGAAUUCGGCACACCGUCGCCCGACCUCGAUUAUCGUCAAUCGCCGGUCUCGCCCGACGCCAGGUACGGCGGCAGCGGCAGCAAGCAGACUUCCAUGUCGGCGUCGUCGUCGCUCGUCGAUUACAACGACCCCAGAAGCAGUGCCAUCUACGCCCAACGCAUGGCUCCGCCACAGCCCAGCAUGUCCUUGAGAACCGACAAGUCCGGUUUGAAUUACGGCAUGAGCGCUCAGCAGCAAGGCCAGAAAACGCCGGAUCUGUAUGCGCGCGCCGCUGCCAAGUCGAGGCCCGCGAUGCCUAGACUCGCCAACGGCACCGAUUACGAGGACGUUUACGGGGCGACGCCACCCCAGUUGUAUCAGAGACCAGCUGGCCCGGUUGGCUACACGAAGGGCCCGGCCCCGGCGCCUAUUUCUAUUCCCGUGCAUAAUCAGCAGCAGCAGCAGCAGCAGCAGCAGUCGCAACCGCAGCCGCAACCGGUGCAGCCACAGUACUACGUUGUUGCCGGAUCCUUGACCAAUGCGCCUGUGAUACGGCAGCAACCGCCACCACCGGAGCCGAAGCCUCAACCGCCGAGACCCCACAGCGCUGAUUUUCUCGAAUACGAAACGAAUCGCAAGCCGUCCCAGCAAACGCCGGCCCAACCAGUCACUCGGGUCCGAUACCCACAGAGACCAAAGUCCAGCCUCGACGUAAUCAAUCCGUCGGACGUACCUACUGUCAACGACAAUUACUUCUAUUCAGAGGAGAGGUACGCAGCUCAGAUGCGUCAAACCGGGGCGGUGUACUUGCAGCAUCAGUCUCCGGCGGCGUCGGCCUCGCAGUCAGUCACGGUCGACGGCAGUGCUCCUCUGCAGCGAGAUCAGCAGUCUUCGAGGAAUCAGUCGCUGUCUCGAGCCACGACCCCGUCGAAAUCGUCGACGUCGCGCGACACCGAGUCGGGCAUCGGCACUCUAUCGGACAUGUCGUAUCCGACCACGUCGAGCGUGAGGCGAGCUCAACGCGAUCAUCAUCAGCAGUCGCUUCAACGACACAACGACCGUUACAGCGAGUCGGCGGCUCACACGAGGCGCUCGCUGCGCGAAACUUCCUCGCGGUCGUCGUCCUUGCACCAGCAGCGCCUGGAUCUGUUGCCGUCGCCAUCUUCGAGUCGCUCAGCCAAUCACACGCCGCAGCAGCAGCAGGGCAGCAGACGCUGGAGCGAGCAGCAACAGCAGCAGUUCGCGCGCUCGGCUAGUGCGAGACUGCCUCGCAAUCGACAUCCCGCCGCGAUAAUCGAUUACGACGACAAUGACGACGACGACGAGUACGACGAUUACAUCGAUAAGAGCAUGAAUCUGGAAGCGUCGAGCAACGGAGAGCGCAAAAUGCAACAGCGCGAAGAGUCGAUGAAAAGACUUCUCGAAUGGAAGCAGCGCAUGCUCCAGUCGCCCUUGACGCGAAAACCUCAUCACUCGAGCAGCGGUGGCAGCAAUCAGCCUCGCACGCCUCAGCACAGCACCGAUCUGGCCAAUUGCUACAAGCAGCAGGCCCUCAUGGAGCUGGCAGCUCACGAGGCCAGUCUUCAGCAGCAGAGGCAGCAUCGCCGUGGACGCGGCGAUGAGGCGCAUCAUCGGCCGCAUUAUCCGCGCAGCAAGAGCACCGACGCUCGGCGCAGCAACGCGGCCAGUGUCUUGGGCAUGCACGCCGCCCUGCCCAGAUACAACAGUUACAGCAGCGACGAUGAAGCAUCGGGUUCGGGCUCGGUAAUCGGACGGGAUCCGCUGCCACCGAGGGCCGUCAGCACAUCGCAAUUAGCAAACCAAAGACAAUCACCGGCGCUAGCCACAACGAAAAACAACAAUUUGAACAACGUCUCGCAACAACAGCAGCAGCAGACGUCAGCCACGUUGCCGCAUCAACGCUCACUAGUGAACAACACGAGUAUGCUAAAUGGCAUCCAGCAUCACAGCACGCCUCUAAAUCAUCAUAAUCAGCAACAGCAGCAGCAACAACAACAAAAGCAGCAACAGCUUCAUCAUCAUCAGCAACAGCAGCAUCAAGUGCAGUACCAAAAUCUCACGCCGAUUCACAAGCAACCGAGCAGCUCGCAGUCGACCGCGAUGCUGUCGAUGCUGGGACACGAUCAUGAUCGGCAGCUUAACGGCGCGAACGGCGGUAGCAAUUACGCCAAUCAUAUACUGAGAGCAGCGAGCAGCGGAGACGUCAGAACAUACAGCAACGAGUAUCAUCGCGACCCAAGAAUAGCAUCGCCUUGUUCUGCGCAGCGUCUCGUCAGUCCGACGAGCCACUUGAGAGUCAUCUCGCCGAUAGACCCUCGCAUAUCCAGCCCGAGCGAUAGCGAGCGCCUAACGCACAGCAUCAGCGACCGUGGCAUGUCCAGCCCAUUGGCCAGGGAUCCCGAACGUGGCAGUAAUCCAACGCUCAGGCAAAUGCAGCGCGGCGUUGGCCAUCGCCAGUCCAACGACCUUCUGCACAAGAGAAGCCAAUCGUCGAGCCGCAUACGCGACAGCAGCAGUCGCAUCUCGGGCGGCCUCGUCCAGGUAUCGGCCGGUGAACUGCUCGGCCGUACCCACGAGGAGCUUGUGCUCCUGCUGAUCCAGCUACGACGCCAGAGCGCCACGCUCUGCAAGGCAAUGGAAACAUGCCAUAUGGAGAUCGAGGCUCAGGCUAGACUCGUGGAAUUGGAUACACCGCGACGAUUGGAGAAUCUGCAAAAGUUGGAUGAACUGAAGAAGCACUUGAUGGAUCUUGAGAAACAGUACGAGAAGGGCAAGCCACUGGUGAAUUUGGUCGACAACAUGGUGAAACUCGGCUCGCUGUACAACUGCAAUCGGCUGAACGGCGCGGCCAGCACGACGAGUCUCGGUGGCUCGCGCUACGAUCUCGGACACCAAUCGGACGGUGCCAGGGAUCACAGAGACCGAUUGGAGUUCAAUCAGCGCGUCCAGGAGCAGAGGCUACUGGCCGAGGAGAGGAGGGACUGGGAUCGACUGAGUCCCGAUCACGGACAACUUCAGGCUGUAAACUCGCUCUCUCAAGGAAAUCUGUAUCAAAGCCGAGGCAACAUACUGUAUCCUGGAGUUAAGAGGGAGUUUUUCCUCAAGAUCGCUCCGAAGGCCAAAGUUCAGCAGCUCUACAAGUUGGAUCAAUUACUGCAAGAGGAGUCCGGCACCCUGCACAGUCUCCAACAAAAUAAGGAGCUGCUCGAGAAGGCACUGGGAGGCUUGAGGCAUAAAAUGCAGGGCCGCAACAAUAAUCCAGCUGAGGUCGAGCGCUACCGCGAGCAGCAGAUGCUGCUCGAACGCGAGCUCAGCCGCGUCAGGCUCUUGCUGGCUCACAAUUCCAAGACAAAGAAGCCCGUUUUUUUCCAGAAACUGGAGGAGACCGUGGCGGAGAACGCGCGCCUCGAGCAAGAUCUCGUGGUGCUGCGCCAGAAGCUGCAGGCCUCACGACGCUACCAGGACCAGGUGCCGUCGCGCGACUCCACGGCUAAUACGACGCAGGCCCUCGAGAAGGAGCUGCGCCGGGUGCAGCAGCUCGUCGGCGAUCUGCAGCGCCAGCGCCAGGAGCUCAGCGUGCAGGUGCGCCAACUGACCGAGAAGAGCCACAGUCUCGUGCAGCAGAUUCGACCGCAAUCCAACACGUCGUCGUCGACGGCACAAGUUCACCAAGCGAAGAAACGCACGCCCAAUACUUGGCUCGAGACCGACCUGGACUCGGGCGUGACUCAGGAGCACGGCCAUCAUCGCGACUUACCGACCAGUCCAGCUUCCUCGACUUCGACUCAGAACUCCUCCUCGACGUUCCACUCGUCGAGCAAGCAAAACGGCCACGGGCCCUAUCGUCCGAAUCUGAACUCGCCGCAGUACGCGAGCAGCAACCAAACUCGCUCGCCGGUCUCCACCUCGUCGACGUCGUCGUCCUCGCAGUACGGCACUCGUCAGGUGCCCGGACAAUCGCAACAGCAGCAGCAACAACAGCAGCAACAGCAACAACCACCGACCUUGUCGCCUCAUCUGCGCGAACAGAUUCAGCAGCAUCAGCUCAAGCAGCAGAUGCUCAAGGAUCAAAUGCAGGGCAAGGCCUCGUCGAGUCCAGUGCCUUUGUACGCCAACGCCAUGGUACCCGAUCCAAGAAGACAAAUGACAGAUAGUCUCAAGCAUUACGAACACAUGACUAACGGCGGUCUUAUGCUAUCACCACCCGAGUAUGUGCCACCACCACCCCCAGCAAUACCCGACCCCGAGACUAUGAUGAUGAACGGAAGUUGCUACGGCCAAGACGAUAACAAAUUUUCCGGCCUGCUUCACAAUCGCGAAAAACCAGAAAUCAAAACGGUGCGCAUAGUAAAACGCGAGUCCGAAAGACGUCAAAGAGAUCGAGGCGAUAGAAGCGGUAAUCUUGGCAUUCCAUUAACAAAUGGACUUCAGGCGCCAGGAGGUGCAAAGCGAUUCAGCGACGACGAUUACGGUGGUUCUCAAAACUUCGAGAGCCAACUUGAUCGCGUGCUGGAAGAAAGCCCGAUGCUACACGCUCAAAGCAACUCGCAACUGUCUGACCUCGACGAGAUGCAAUUCCAGCGCAGCAUGUCACUGCCCAGAGGAUUCGGCGGUAAAACGACACCGCAGCAGCAUGUUCAACCUGGUCCAGUGCCGACACCUCCUCGAAGCGACAGUAUGGCCGCUUUGAGGAACAUGAUCGCUCGUCGCCAGCGAAUCAAGCUCGAGAUGAGUCAAGACUCGGACAGCACAUACGCCACGGACUGCAGCGCGAGCUACGUCUCGUCGCCCAUCAACGGCAACUACGCCGGCUGCUCGAGCAAUUACUCGACGAGUCCGGCUUACAGUCCUCCGUACUCGAUGCAGAGUCCGGAGCCACCACCGGUGCCGGCGCCUCCACCGGUGUCCUCGCUAAUUGCCGCCAAGGUAGCCGGUAAUGGACAGGAAGUGCCAGCAUCGGUGCCUGCAGCUGCUGCUGCUGCUGCUGCUCCUGCUCCGGGCAGCGGGUCGACGAUUUUCAAAAGCGAAGCUGCCAAGCAGAUAAUCAAGGAGAUGAGCGACAAGAAGCCCGAGAGCAGCAGCAACGACGGCCCUGUGAAAUUGAGAAAGAGACAGGUGCCAAGAGAGAAGAGGAGGCAUUAUACGGUUUCCAGCAGCCAGCCAAAUAUCGAUCUAGAAGAUGCUUUCGCGAAGAUGGGCAUGGGACGAGCUCGCGAUGAUCUCGAUAUGGAGAGAGCUUUGCGGCCAAGAAUUAAUGCUCCCGACGUCGUUAGAUCGACGUUGAGUCACAAGGAACUCAAGUACAACGAGAGCACAAUCGAUAGCCUUUUGGGUGCGCCGAAUAAGAUCUUCAUACCGGAGCGAUACGUACCCGAAAAGACUCCGGAGCUGUCGGCCGAAGAGAAGGAACAAAGGUUGAAAAAAGCCGAAUCCAUUAGGAAAAUGCUGUCGGAAACUACGGUCACCUCUGCCGAUGGAGCUGACGACGAAGAUAUCGAGAAAUCCGAAACGCUGAAGAAAAAAGUUGCUGAGGAGAAACGCCAAAGAAAUCAUAUUCUCCAAUUGAAUCAAAUUUUAGCCAAGCAAGUUAUGGAGAAAAGCAAGAUGGUUGCGGGACUGUAUAGCAAUGGUAACUCGUCGGAGCAGCAAGCACGCUAGCAGCUUCCCUGCAUUGACAAUGAUUCUUAAAUAACGCCGGCUUAGAUAGAGAGUGUUGUUGUUUGGAACGUUUGUGCUGUGCAUAAUAGGUAACCACCAUGGCACGUUGAACUGAUAUGCUUGCUCCAUCCUCCCGCAAUAGGAACCGCUCGUCAUUUACCAUCCAUCAGCCAAUGCUCGAUCUGACGUCUCCUCAUUUGACGAUGAAUCCACCAUUGAUGAUUCGGAUGACUUAUCACCAUCUACACCUAUGCCACUG